rnacentral:lncRNA from 1 species
GCUUGUUAUUGACAAUGUUUGGUAGUUAUUUCUGUUGUUGUUCAGUUUUUCCGUAACCACUAGGCUUACCUAGUAUUAGAGAAUAGGUAUCGUCAUGACAUCUUACGGGGGAGAUUUGGGUCGUCAGAUCCCGGCUAUUUACUUCCGAUAUUCAUACAUGUUUUCCAUUAGUACCAUCUGCCUUAUAUUCCAUUAAGCGGUUAAGAUUGAAGAAUAUAAUUAUUUGUAUGCACAAUAACACGAUGAAAAGGAGCGGAAAUGAGACAACGAUGUUCCACUAUCAAAGAGGAACAUAAAACAAAUGAAAACGAUGACUCGUAUUCAUCUAUAUAUACCAUGAAAAAUCAAGCAAAUUUUUUACACUCCCUAUGUAUAUAUAACAUAAACUCCUGAAUAUAAGCAGAAGCAACAAAGCAGGUUCAAUAUAUUAACCGGACUAGCUACUCAGAGGGGUUAAUCUUUUUCUUGUCAUUCUUGAAAGAGGACACCACAGCUUUCACCACCUUUUCAGCAGCCAUGGCCUUCACUGACUUUUUGUCCUUCUUUGGGAACACGCUUCCUUUCUUAGCUGUACUGCUUUCACCGAUAUAUCCUUUCCCUUUUCCAUUAUUAUUGUCCAUCUCUUCAGAUCUCUUAUAGAGUUUAAGUAUAUAUAAAAAAGUGUAUGAAAUAUAUUGCGUUGUUGCUUAACUUGUGGU